CGUAGGGCGCGAGCGUUAAUCGGAAUUACUGGGCGUAAAGCGUGCGCAGGCGGUUUUGUAAGACAGGCGUGAAAUCCCCGGGCUCAACCUGGGAACUGCGUUUGUGACUGCAAGGCUAGAGUAUGGCAGAGGGGGGUGGAAUUCCACGUGUAGCAGUGAAAUGCGUAGAGAUGUGGAGGAACACCGAUGGCGAAGGCAGCCCCCUGGGCCAAUACUGACGCUCAUGCACGAAAGCGUGGGUGGCAAACAGGAUUAGAUACCCUGGUAGUCCACGCCCUAAACGAUGUCAACUAGGUGUUGGGUGGGUAAAACCAUUUAGUACCGGAGCUAACGCGUGAAGUUGACCGCCUGGGGGAGUACGGCCGCAAGGUUA
rnacentral:rRNA from 1 species